rnacentral:rRNA from 1 species
UACGGAGGGUGCAAGCGUUAUCCGGAUUUACUGGGUUUAAAGGGUGCGUAGGUGGGUAGGUAAGUCAGUGGUGAAAUCUUCGAGCUUAACUCGGAAACUGCCAUUGAUACUAUUUAUCUUGAAUACUCUGGAGGUAAGCGGAAUAUGUCAUGUAGCGGUGAAAAUGCUUAGAUAUGACAUAGAACACCAAAUUGCGAAGGCAGCUUACUACAUAGUUAUUGACACUGAGGCACGAAAAGCGUGGGGGAUCAAACAGG